GAUGAACGCUGACAGAAUGCUUAACACAUGCAAGUCAACUUGAAUUUGGGUUUUUAACUUAGAUUUGGGUGGCGGACGGGUGAGUAACGCGUAAAGAACUUGCCUCACAGCUAGGGACAACAUUUAGAAAUGAAUGCUAAUACCUGAUAUUAUGAUUUUAAGGCAUCUUAGAAUUAUGAAAGCUAUAAGCACUGUGAGAGAGCUUUGCGUCCCAUUAGCUAGUUGGAGAGGUAACAGCUCAUCAAGGCGAUGAUGGGUAGCCGGCCUGAGAGGGUGAACGGCCACAAGGGGACUGAGACACGGCCCUUACUCCUACGGGAGGCAGCAGUGGGGAAUAUUGGACAAUGGACCGAGAGUCUGAUCCAGCAAUUCUGUGUGCACGAUGAAGUUUUUCGGAAUGUAAAGUGCUUUCAGUUGGGAAGAAAAAAAUGACGGUACCAACAGAAGAAGUGACGGCUAAAUACGUGCCAGCAGCCGCGGUAAUACGUAUGUCACGAGCGUUAUCCGGAUUUAUUGGGCGUAAAGCGCGUCUAGGUGGUUAUAGAAGUCUGAUGUGAAAAUGCAGGGCUCAACUCUGUAUUGCGUUGGAAACUGUAUAACUAGAGUACUGGAGAGGUAAGCGGAACUACAAGUGUAGAGGUGAAAUUCGUAGAUAUUUGUAGGAAUGCCGAUGGGGAAGCCAGCUUACUGGACAGAUACUGACGCUAAAGCGCGAAAGCGUGGGUAGCAAACAGG
rnacentral:rRNA from 1 species